UACGUAGGGCGCGAGCGUUGUCCGGAAUUAUUGGGCGUAAAGAGCUCGUAGGCGGUUUGUCGCGUCUGCUGUGAAAACUCGGGGCUUAACCCCGGGCCUGCAGUGGGUACGGGCAGACUAGAGUGCGGUAGGGGAGACUGGAAUUCCUGGUGUAGCGGUGAAAUGCGCAGAUAUCAGGAGGAACACCGGUGGCGAAGGCGGGUCUCUGGGCAGUAACUGACGCUGGAGGAGCGAAAGCGUGGGGAGCGAACAGGA
rnacentral:rRNA from 1 species